GGCAAAUGCGAGGGCGCGCGCCGCAUUGAUGAUCGAGUAGCGAUUCGCCGCCAAGGGCAGGCCCAGCGCCCGCGCGUUGAUCGUGGUCUCUUGGCAAAUGUGUUGGAUAUCGCGGUUGGAACCGCACAGGCCGAUGACCUGCGCCCCGCGGCCCAGCACCAGCAUGCGCUCCAAAAGUUCGACCAGUACCUCGCGCGGCAGGGCCUCGACAAGACUCCACUCGUCUAUCGGCAGCGACGGUGUUGGCGGGGCUGUCUCGCGUGGCGGUCGCAUGACUUCGCUCGUCUCGGUGGUGCCCAUGGUUGGUGCUGGCCGGCCUAGCACUAAACCAAACCGUUGUUGGUAAUCGAUGCGUGGGCGGCGGCGCGGCGGCUCCUCCACGUCGGGUUGUGUGGGCGUCUCGGCACGCGGGCGCCUGCGCGACGGCCAUUCCGGCUCCUCCAUGGCGUGCCCCUGAACCUCUUUUUUUUCUUUCUUCUUUUCGCGGUCUAGCGAGGGUGGACAAUGGCCGCCAAUAAAAAAACAAAAGUUGGGCAGGCGCCGACGAUUGCCGACCGACGGCACGAUUUUG
rnacentral:lncRNA from 1 species